UCUACGUUUGAAUACAUAACAUUUAUUAAACUAUAUUAUAAUUAGCCACAUAGUGAUAGUUUCACUCUGUAAUUAGCCACAUAGUGAUAGUUUCACUCUUUUUUUAGGAAGAAAUAAAACUGGUGCUAGAACUGAUUCUAAUCCAACAAUUGAUACCAGAUGCAAAGCAAGAUUAAAUAGAUAAGGUUCUGAAUUGAAGAUGUGCAUUCUCAAGUAUAAUCACAGGAAAAUGAUAAAGUGAUGUCAGGUAGUCGAGUUUUGGUCAUUACUAUAUGGGUCCUCGAGUUUUGAUUCCAAGAUUAUCAAUGACACCUUCUGAUCCUCGAUUGCCUUUUAAGUUUGAAAUGAGACAAUUCAACUCAUGUUGUCUUAUGCAAUGAUGAUAAAUAAAAGUCAUGGCCAAAGUCUGUCUACCGUUGGACUAUUUUUAAAGAAACGUGUUUGUUGUUCAUGGUCAACUUUAUGUGGUGCUAUCGAGAGUGAACAACCCCAUUGGUCUUAAAGUUGUUAUUCUUAAUGAGAAUGGAGAUUAUUGUUCUUCAACGUCAAAUGUUGUAUACAAGGAAAUAUUUAAGAAUUUUUAAGUUUAAUAUGUAAUGGAAUAUUAUCAUCUUAAUUGUAGUCAAUAAUGUGUUUAUAUAUUGUGCUAUAAAUAUCAUUAUCCACCUUUAUUAUUGUGUGUUA